CCCUUAGAUGUUCUGGGCCGCACGCGUGCUACGCUGAACGGUUCAAUGGGUAAGGUAGUGCGAAAGCAUGACCUAAUCUCGAAAUCCGUUCGUGCUGGGGAUAGAAGCUUGCAAUUAUCCUUCUUGAACGAGGAAUACCUUGUAAGCGUGAGUCAUCAUCUCACGCUGAAUACGUCCCUGCCCUUUGUACACACCGCCCGUCGCUCCUACCGAUUGAGUGUUCCGGUGAGGCUUUGGGAGAAUGGCCUCAACAUGAGUUUAUCGUGUUUUGCCGUUUGAACUUAGUCAAACCUUAUCACUUAGAGGAAGGAGAAGUCGUAACA
rnacentral:rRNA from 1 species